GACUCCAGUGUUCCAGUAGUUCUUGUGUACAGAGUAUCUCUGUAUAAUAUGUCUCUUUCUAUGUCUCCAUUUCUUUUAAUAGUGUUCAUUUCCAUGUAUCCUGUGCUUCUAUGAGGAUAUUACAUAUACAGCACUUACAUAUUGAUGUCUUUAUCCUGUUGGUAGCAUGGAGCCAGCAUUUUUUAGAGGUGAUCCUUUUUGACUAAUUAUGAAGAGGGUUCAAUAAAAUCUGGGAAGAUUAUAGUAUUCAAAGUAAAGGACAGAGAUAUACCAAUCGUACACACGGAACAGUACAUGAGGAGAAAGCUAAGAGAGAAAGUGGGGGAGAACAGAGGGAGAAAGAGGGAGGAUACAUUCAUAAUGGUGAGGUAUAUCUCCUAACUAAAGGUGAUAAUAAUCAGGUUGAUGACAGAGGAUUGUACGCUCCAGAAAAGCUGUGGGUUAAAAUGGAUGAAGCAGUAGAACAUGCUAGAGGUUUCCUGCCAUACAUCGGAAUGGUCACAAUAAAUUAAUGAAGGAUUACCCAAAACUGAAAUAUCUUCUUUUAUAUGUGGCUUAGCAGUUUUUGUUAUACUGCAUAGGGAGUAGUCAUUAAUUGAUUCCUUUGAUCAUUACACUAUAAUCAUUAUUUUGUUGAAUAAAUUAAUAAUAUACUCUAAUUGGCAUCUUGCCAUAGAAUACCACAAAAAUCACUCACAAAAA